rnacentral:rRNA from 1 species
GUGGGGAAUUUUGGACAAUGGGCGCAAGCCUGAUCCAGCAAUGCCGCGUGCAGGAAGAAGGCCUUCGGGUUGUAAACUGCUUUUGUACGGAACGAAACGGUCCGGGUUAAUACCCUGGGCUAAUGACGGUACCGUAAGAAUAAGCACCGGCUAACUACGUGCCAGCAGCCGCGGUAAUACGUAGGGUGCAAGCGUUAAUCGGAAUUACUGGGCGUAAAGCGUGCGCAGGCGGUUUUGUAAGACAGGCGUGAAAUCCCCGGGCUCAACCUGGGAAUUGCGCUUGUGACUGCAAGGCUGGAGUGCGGCAGAGGGGGAUGGAAUUCCGCGUGUAGCAGUGAAAUGCGUAGAUAUGCGGAGGAACACCGAUGGCGAAGGCAAUCCCCUGGGCCUGCACUGACGCUCAUGCACGAAAGCGUGGGGAGCAAACAGGAUUAGAAACCCCGGUAGUCCC